UACGUAGGGUGCGAGCGUUAAUCGGAAUUACUGGGCGUAAAGCGUGCGCAGGCGGUUUCACAAGCUCGAUGUGAAAGCCCCCGGGCUUAACCUGGGAAUGGCAUUGAGGACUGUGGAGCUCGAGUGCGGCAGAGGGAGGUGGAAUUCCACGUGUAGCAGUGAAAUGCGUAGAGAUGUGGAGGAACACCGAUGGCGAAGGCAGCCUCCUGGGCCGACACUGCCGCUCAUGCACGAAAGCGUGGGGAGCAAACAGGAAUUAGAAACCCCCAGUAGG
rnacentral:rRNA from 1 species